rnacentral:rRNA from 1 species
ACUCAAAUGAAUUGACGGGGGCCCGCACAAGUGGUGGAGCAUGUGGUUUAAUUCGACGCUACGCGAAGAACCUUACCUGGGUUUGACAUCUACGGGAAGGCUCCAGAGAUGGUGUCCGUCCUUCGGGACUCGUAGACAGGUGCUGCAUGGCUGUCGUCAGCUCGUGCCGUGAGGUGUUGGGUUAAGUCCCGCAACGAGCGCAACCCUUGUCCUUAGUUGCCACCGGGUAAUGCCGGGCACUCUGGGGAGACUGCCAGCACAAGCUGGAGGAAGGUGGGGAUGACGUCAAGUCAGCAUGGCCCUUACGUCCAGGGCUACACACGUGCUACAAUGGCCGGUACAGAGGGCUGCCAACCCGCGAGGGGGAGCGAAUCCCAUAAAGCCGGUCUCAGUUCGGAUUGUAGGCUGCAAUUCGCCUGCAUGAAGUCGGAAUCACUAGUAACCGCAGAUCAGCUACGCUGCGGUGAAUACGUUCCCGGGCCUUGUACACACCGCCCGU